rnacentral:misc_RNA from 1 species
AUGGACUACUAGGGUAUCUAAUCCCGUUUGCUCCCCUGGCCUUCGUGCCUCAGUGUCAGGAAAUGCCCAGAGAGUCGCCUUCGCAACUGGUCUUCCUCACGAUAUCUACGCAUUUCACUGCUACACCGUGAAUUCCACUCUCCUCUACAUUCCUCUAGCAUGGGAGUAUUGAGUGCAGUUCUAAGGUUAAGCCCUAGGAUUUCACACUCAACUUUCCACGCCACCUACGCACCCUUUACGCCCAAUGAAUCCGAACAACGCUUGAGACCUCUGUAUUACCGCGGCUGCUGGCACG